ACGAACGCUGGCGGCGUGCUUAACACAUGCAAGUCGAACGGAAAGGCCCUGCUUUUGUGGGGUGCUCGAGUGGCGAACGGGUGAGUAACACGUGAGUAACCUGCCCUUGACUUUGGGAUAACUUCAGGAAACUGGGGCUAAUACCGGAUAGGAGCUCCUGCUGCAUGGUGGGGGUUGGAAAGUUUCGGCGGUUGGGGAUGGACUCGCGGCUUAUCAGCUUGUUGGUGGGGUAGUGGCUUACCAAGGCUUUGACGGGUAGCCGGCCUGAGAGGGUGACCGGCCACAUUGGGACUGGGAUACGGCCCGGGCCCCUCCGGGGGGCAGGGGUGGGGAAUUUUGCCAAAUGGGCGGAGCCCUGAUGCAGCACCGCCGCGUGGGGGAUGAGGGCUUUCGGGUUGUAAACCGCUUUCCCCUGGGACGAAGCGUGGGUGCGGGUAAUGGGUAAAAAACCACCGGCUACCUCGGU
rnacentral:rRNA from 1 species